CCUACGGGAGGCAGCAGUAGGGAAUCUUCCACAAUGGGCGCAAGACUGAUGGAGCAACACCGCGUGAGUGAAGAAGGGUUUCGGCUCGUAAAGCUCUGUUUUUGGAGAAGAACGUGCGUGAGAGUAACUGUUCACGCAGUGACGGUAUCCAACCAGAAAGUCUCGGCUAACUACGUGCCAGCAGCCGCGGUAAUACGUAGGUGGCAAGCGUUAUCCGGAUUUAUUGGGCGUAAAGCGAGCGCAUGCGGUUGCUUAGGUCUGAUGUGAAAGCCUUCGGCUUAACCGAAGAAGUGCAUCGGAAACCGGGCAACUUGAGUGGAGGAGAGGACAGUGGAACGCCAGGUGUAGCGGUGGAAUGCGUAGAUAUAUGGAAGAACACCAGUGGCGAAGGCGGCUGUCUGGUCUGCAACUGACGCUGAGGCUCGAAAGCAUGGGUAGCGAACAGGAUUAGAUACCCGGGUAGUC
rnacentral:rRNA from 1 species